rnacentral:rRNA from 1 species
AAACAUAACCUUUAGCCAAACAAAUAUUAAAGGCGACGCCUGCCCAGUGAACAAUUAAACGGCCGCGGUACCCUAACCGUGCAAAGGUAGCAUAAUCAUUUGUCUACUAAUUAUAGACCUGUAUGAAAGGCAAAAUGAGGGUCCAACUGUCUCUUAUAAUUAAUCAAUUAAACUGAUCUCCUAGUAAAAAAGCUAGAAUUCUAACACAAGACCAGAAGACCCUGUGAAGCUUAAACUAAACUAUUAAACCACAUAAUAGCUAAUUUCGGUUGGGGCGACCUUGGAAAAAAAAAGAACUUCCAAUACAAUAACCUUCUAAAUACCAACACCCCAGGCUAACAAGCCAUCCAAUGACCCAGCUAAUACUGACAAAUGAAACAAGUUACUCCAGGGAUAACAGCGCAAUCUUCUUUAAGAGCCCAUAUCAAAAAGAAGGUUUACGACCUCGAUGUUGGAUCAGGACAUCCUAAUGGUGCAGACGCUAUUAAGGGUUCGUUUGUUCAACGAUUAAUAGUCCUACGUGAUC